AGGGGAAUAUUGCACAAUGGGCGCAAGCCUGAUGCAGACAUGACGCGUGUAUGAAGAAGGCCUUCGGGUUGUAAAGUACUUUCAGUUGGGAGGAAGGUGGUAAGGUUAAUAACCUUAUCAAUUGACGUUACCGACAGAAGAAGCACCGGAUAACUCCGGGCCAGCAGUCGCGGUAAUAAGGAGGGUGAAAGCGUUAAUCGGAAUUACUGGGAGUAAAGCGCACGCAGGCGGGUGAUUGAGUCAGAUGUGAAAUCCCCGGGCGUAACCCGGGGAUUGCAUCUCAUACUGGUCAGCUAGAGUCUUGUAGAGGGAGGUAGAAUUCCAUGUGUAGCUGUGAAGUGCUUAGGGAUGUGGAGUACUCCCGGUGGCGAAAGCAGCCCCCUGUACAAAUACUGACACUCAGGUGCGAAAGCGUGGGGAUCAAACAGG
rnacentral:rRNA from 1 species